AACUGAUCAAUAAGACUGGGAUGUUAUGGAAGCGAAUAAAAGGAGAACGAAACGGCAAAAGAAGAACCAAGAACAAAGCGAUACUUCAGGGCGUCACAUAAAACUGUCUGACAUUGGCACACAAAUGAAAGAAACCCAUAAGCAACCUAGAAACCGGAUCCUGAAACUUCAGGCCACAGUGGAAGUACAAACAGUGAACUGGUACAAGCAGCAGAUAGAGAAGCAGAGGGAAAAAGACCAAGGCAUGGAAUUCCGCAACCUGACCGAUCAACUUUCGAACAUGCAGUACUACGCCACCCAGAGUUCCUGAGCCGACUGAUUGCAUAACUGAGAACGUUAUCACCGUUCUGCCCUACAAAGUGUGGAGAGAAUUGAUCAUUAAAUUAGAUCCCUUGCGCCAAUUAGGAGGAGAUUACAAAGAUCUCGCCAGUGAAAUUGGAUAUGACAUGGAGAAAAUCUUGUAUUUCCAGUUGGGAAAGAUCUAACAGAAGCUCAACUCAAUGACUGCGCAAACUCAGUCUCAAUUGACAAACUUUGUGACAAGCUGAAGGCGAUUGGAAGAUCUGAUGCAAGGAAAGUGCUUGAUGAAUGGAUCAAGUGACGAAACUGCAAAUGUGUAACCUGCAACAGCCAGAGCUACUAUACGCACGCCAACAAGUUUUUCUUUUAGGAGGGAGGGGGUUGGGGCUGGGAAUGUUUAAAAAGAAAAAAAAUUCCAGCGAGCAACUCGGAGUAGAGCUUUUAAUUAAAUAAACAAAAGGUUGUUUGGGCUGAAGAUUUCAAUUACUCGUCACCAAUUUUUGUGAAAAUUAUUUCAGAAAAUUUAGCUUUUCACUUAUAUCUUUAAGUAAGCGGUUUCGUUAUUUCAUUUUAAUGAUUCAUGGUGACCAUGACCCGAGUGCACCUCUUUAGUAUACUUAACAUUGUAACAGAUAGGUUUACAAAGAUAGGUUUACUGCUUGAAACUUGUUUGCAUUGUUACCACUCAGUAGAGACCCGAGUUAAAAACCGGAUUCUUACAGGUUUUGGGAUCUUGUACAGUUCGACAAUCUGAUGAGGCACCAAAGAAGUGAAUAAGUUCAACGCAAAGAAACUGAUGGAUCAA